UACGUAGGGGGCAAGCGUUGUUCGGAAUUACUGGGCGUAAAGGGCGCGUAGGCGGCCUGCUAAGUCGAACGUGAAAUCCCUGGGCUCAACCCAGGAACUGCGUCCGAUACUGGUUGGCUUGAAUCCGGGAGAGGGAUGCGGAAUUCCAGGUGUAGCGGUGAAAUGCGUAGAUAUCAGGAGGAACACCGGUGGCGAAGGCGGGUCUCUGGGCCGAUACUGACGCUGAGGAGCGAAAGCGUGGGGAGCGAACAGG
rnacentral:rRNA from 1 species